CGAAGGAUGCAAGCGUUAUCCGGAUUCAUUGGGUUUAAAGGGUGCGUAGGCGGACUUGUAAGUCAGUGGUGAAAUCUCUCAGCUUAACUGGGAAACUGCCAUUGAUACUGCAGGUCUAGAGUAUAGAUGACGUUGGCGGAAUAUGACAUGUAGUGGUGAAAUACUUAGAUAUGUCAUAGAACACCGAUUGCGAAGGCAGCUAACGAAACUAUAACUGACGCUGAGGCACGAAAGUGCGGGGAUCAAACAGGAUUAGAUACCCUGGUAGUCCGCACCGUAAACGAUGAUUACUCGUUGUUGGCGAUAUGACAGUCAGCGACCAAGCGAAAGCGAUAAGUAAUCCACCUGGGGAGUACGCCGGCAACGGUG
rnacentral:rRNA from 1 species